CAGGAUGAACGCUGGCGGCGUGCUUAACACAUGCAAGUCGAACGGAGUUUUAAACGGAAGUUUUCGGAUGGAAGUUUAAGAACUUAGUGGCGGACGGGUGAGUAACGCGUGGGUAACCUGCCUCAUACAGGGGGAUAACAGUUAGAAAUGACUGCUAACACCGCAUAAUAUAGCGAAACCGCAUGAUUUUGCUAUCAAAUAUUUAUAGGUAUGAGAUGGGCCCGCGUCUGAUUAGCUAGUUGGUGGGGUAAAAGCCUACCAAGGCGACGAUCAGUAGCCGGCUUGAGAGAGUGACCGGCCACAUUGGGACUGAGACACGGCCCAAACUCCUACGGGAGGCAGCAGUGGGGAAUAUUGGACAAUGGGGGAAACCCUGAUCCAGCGACGCCCGCGUGAGUGAAGAAGUAUUUCGGUAUGUAAAGCUCUAUCAGCAGGGAAGAUAAUGACAGUACCUGACUAAGAAGCCCCGGCUAACUACGUGCCAGCAGCUGC
rnacentral:rRNA from 1 species